CGGUGAUCCAGGGCUUGCUCUGGUGAUCAGUGGCGAACGGGUGAGUAACACGUGAGUAACCUGCCCCUGACUCUGGGAUAACUGCUGGAAACGGUGGCUAAUACCGGAUAUGAAGCCCUGUCGCAUGGUGGGGUUUGGAAAGAUUUUUCGGUUGGGGAUGGACUCGCGGCCUAUCAGCUUGUUGGUGGGGUGAUGGCCUACCAAGGCGACGACGGGUAGCCGGCCUGAGAGGGCGACCGGCCACACUGGGACUGAGACACGGCCCAGACUCCUACGGGAGGCAGCAGUGGGGAAUAUUGCACAAUGGGCGCAAGCCUGAUGCAGCGACGCCGCGUGAGGGAUGAAGGCCUUCGGGUUGUAAACCUCUUUCAGCAGGGAAGAAGCGCAAGUGACGGUACCUGCAGAAGAAGCGCCGGCUAACUACGUGCCAGCAGCCGCGGUAAUACGUAGGGCGCAAGCGUUGUCCGGAAUUAUUGGGCGUAAAGAGCUCGUAGGCGGUUUGUCGCGUCUGCUGUGAAAACCUAAGGCUCAACCUUGGGCUUGCAGUGGGUACGGGCAGACUAGAGUGCGGUAGGGGUGACUGGAAUUCCUGGUGUAGCGGUGGAAUGCGCAGAUAUCAGGAGGAACACCGAUGGCGAAGGCAGGUCACUGGGCCGCAACUGACGCUGAGGAGCGAAAGCAUGGGGAGCGAACAGGAUUAGAUACCCUGGUAGUCCAUGCCGUAAACGUUGGGCACUAGGUGUGGGGCUCAUUCCACGAGUUCCGUGCCGCAGCAAACGCAUUAAGUGCCCCGCCUGGGGAGUAC
rnacentral:rRNA from 1 species